AUCUAUUAGGUUGGUGCAAAAGUAAUUGUGGCUUUUGCCAUUACUUUUGAUUGCAAAAACCGCAUUACUUUUGCACC
ensembl:miRNA